GACCUGCCACCGGAAGCCAGGCUUCUACUUCCGGGUCAGAGCCAUGGCGGUGGCAAAUUCAAGUCCAGUCAAUCCAGUGGUCUUCUUUGAUGUCAGCAUUGGCGGCCAGGAAGUUGGUCGCAUGAAGAUCGAGCUCUUUGCAGACGUUGUGCCUAAGACGGCAGAGAACUUUAGGCAAUUCUGCACUGGAGAGUUCAGAAAAGAUGGCGUUCCGAUAGGAUACAAAGGUAGCACCUUCCACAGGGUCAUAAAGGAUUUUAUGAUUCAGGGUGGAGAUUUUGUGAAUGGCGAUGGUACUGGAGUCGCCAGUAUUUACCGGGGUCCAUUUGCAGAUGAAAAUUUUAAACUUAGACACUCGGCUCCAGGCCUGCUUUCCAUGGCAAACAGUGGUCCCAGUACAAAUGGCUGCCAGUUCUUUAUCACGUGUUCUAAGUGUGAUUGGCUGGAUGGAAAGCAUGUAGUGUUUGGAAAAAUCAUUGAUGGACUUCUAGUGAUGAGGAAGAUUGAGAAUGUUCCCACAGGCCCCAACAACAAGCCCAAACUGCCAGUGGUGAUCUCACAGUGUGGGGAAAUGUAAUCUAGACAAGAUGGAACCAGUGUCACCCUGAAAAGGACCUGAUUUCCUUGCACUGGGAAACCUAGGGAGCCAGGAGGCAUGUGCUGUGCUAUCCUCAGAACCGACACUGGUGUCCAGGCUUGGAACCUUGCAUGCUGUAUUCACAGGGGCCCUUUCUCCUAAUAUUUGCCACUGGCUGCUUUCCACUGGGGCUUUCUGGAAAAGAAUUGAAAGGCACUCCCGGGAGAGAAGUCACGUUCUUGGAGAAAUGUUCGGAAAAUGUGGAUUAAUCACCUACAAGCUUGCAGCUCAGGUGACCAGUGAUGACAUUUGUUGUGGACAUGCUAUAUUCCUCCCUCCGUUCCCAUGCCACAUCCUCUCCUUAACUUCCGGCCUUAGUGCUUUUGGUUCCCAUUCCCAAACUUCAGACCUCUCAACAUUUCAUCCCUGAGCACUUCAGGAGGAGCCCUAAAAGUGAGAGUCUCCUAAAUAAACAAAAUGAUAUUUGUAUACAUGGUACAUAUUACAGACUAACUUUUUAAGUCAUACAAAUUUUAUUUGUAGUGCUGGGGACUGAAUCCACUUUGUGCAUUCAAGCAAAGUACACUACCACUGAGCUGCACCCUCAGUCCCACUCACACACACUCGUGUGUAGACACACACACCCUGGCCAGGCAUGUUGGUGUACUCCUCUACUCCCAGCUAAUUGAAAGGCUGAGGCAGGAGGAUCACCUGAGAAGGUUUAGAGAACAGCAUGUGCUGUUCACCAGAGUCCUUGUAUUUUCUUGUUUGUUUUCGUAUGUAUAAGAGUUUUCCCUGCAUGUCCAUUUGUGUAACACUUGUAUGCCUGGUGUCCACAGAAGCCAGAAGACAUUAGAUCUCCUGGAGUUAUAAGUGUUUGUCGGCCAUUGUGUGAGUGUUGGUACUUGAACCUGGGUCCUCUGUAAGAACAACAAGUGCUCUUAAUCACUGAGACGUCUCUCCAGCCCCUGCUUGUUUAUUUUUAACUGAAGAAGUAGCACAAUACAAUUUCCAUGUGAAAACUUUUAACACCAAAGUAAAUGAUGUAGAAGCUGCUCUUCUUCCCAGAAGUCA